UUUUUUUCUUGACCGUACGCUGUGCUGUGCUUUUUUUAAGACUAAUGCGACAUGCCCUAGCUCGACCCUGGAAUCGCAAUGGGACGCAAGGUCGGAUUGUGGCAGAGAGGAGAUUGAGUCCGGGUGCGACAUUGAAAGGGUGGUAUGGAGGAAGAACACCGAUGGUGAAGGCAAUUCCCUCGUGCUUACAUUGAGGCUCAUGCACGAAAGUUUCGAGCGCAAUCAGGAUUCGAUACCGUUCAAGUCCACGCCGUAAACGAUGUCAACUGGUUUUCGGGUAUGAGCUUAUUCCGUAACGAAGGUAAUGCGUGAACUUGACCGCCUGUAGAGUACCGCCGCAAGAAUGAAACUCAAAGGAAUUGAGCCGGACCCGCACAAGGGGUGGAUGAUGUAGUUUAAUGCGAUGCAACGAGCAAAACCUUACCCACAUUUGACAUGGCUCGAAUUCCGAAGAGAUUUGGAAGUGCUGGAAAGGGAACCUGCACACAGGUGGUGCUUGGCUGUUGUCAGCUUGUGUCGUGAGAUGUUGGCUUAAGUCCCGCAACGAGCGCAACCCUUGCCAUUAGUUGUUAGGAAAGGGCAUUUUAAUGGGACUGCCGGUGACAAACCGGAGGAAGGUGGGGAGGACGUCAAGUCUUCAUGGCCCUUAUAGGUGGGGCUACACACGUCAUACAAUGGCCGGUACAAAGGGUAGCCAACCCGCGAGGGGGAGCCAAUCCCAUAAAGCCGGUCGUAGUCCGGAUCGCAUUUUGCAAUUGGAUUGCGUGAAGUCGGAAUCGCUAGUAAUCGUGGAUCAGCAUGUCACGGUGAAUACGUUCCCGGGUCUUGUACACACCGCCCGUCACACCAUGGGAGCGGGUUUGCCAGAAGUGGUUAGCCUAACUGUUAAGAGGGCGAUCACCAAUCACAGCACGCGACCUCCA
rnacentral:rRNA from 1 species